rnacentral:rRNA from 1 species
AUUGAACGCUGGCGGCAUGCCUUACACAUGCAAGUCGAACGGUAACAGGUCUUCGGAUGCUGACGAGUGGCGAACGGGUGAGUAAUACAUCGGAACGUGCCUAGUAGUUGGGGAUAACUACUCGAAAGAGUGGCUAAUACCGCAUGAGAUCUACGGAUGAAAGCAGGGGAUCGCAAGACCUUGUGCUACUAGAGCGGCCGAUGGCAGAUUAGGUAGUUGGUGGGAUAAAAGCUUACCAAGCCGACGAUCUGUAGCUUGUCUGAGAGGACGAUCAGACACACUGGGACGGAGACACGGCCCAGACUCCUACGGGAGGCAGCAGUGGGGAAUUUUGGACAAUGGGCGAAAGCCUGAUUCAGCAAUGCCGCGUGCAGGAUGAAGGCCUUCGGGUUGUAAACUGCUUUUGUACGGAACGAAAAGCCCCGGGUUAAUACCCUGGGGUCAUGACGGUACCGUAAGAAUAAGCACCGGCUAACUACGUGCCAGCCGCCGCAGUAA